CAUGGCUCUUGCUGCCCGAAUGUCAAUGACGACUUAUAAAGGAAGGUGGACGAUUAAAUUUUGACUCAUUCUCAAAGGAACUAAGUGCCAUUACAAGAAUGUGAGGGGAGUCUCAUGUAUAUAAUGUGUAACUGACGAAGCAUAUUGGAUGGACCAAGAGAUGGCGGUCUUUAUCAAGGGUGAGAAGAUUUCUCUAAGCCGGAGAGUCGAGAAACAUUGGCGAUUGAUCGGCUGGGACAAAUCCAGGCAGGUCUAACUCUUGAAAUGCUUGGAACUAGAGUAUCCUCUUGUAAAAAUAAUUCAAGUAUCUUCAUGUUAUAUAUCACCUAUUUGUGUUAUUAACUCAAAUAUUUAUGAUUAGAGCACUUAAAGUUGUGUUAAAUUGGAUUAGAGGCAGUUUUUGUAUUUGUUAACAGCCGAUUUUGAAUUUUGGCUU
rnacentral:lncRNA from 1 species